rnacentral:rRNA from 1 species
UACAGAGGGGGCAAGCGUUGUUCGGAAUUACUGGGCGUAAAGGGCGCGUAGGUGGCCUUCUAAGUUGAACGUGAAAUCCCUGGGCUCAACCCAGGAACUGCGUCCAAGACUGGGAGGCUUGAAUCCGGGAGAGGGAUGCGGAAUUCCAGGUGUAGCGGUGAAAUGCGUAGAUAUCUGGAGGAACACCGGUGGCGAAGGCGGCAUCCUGGACCGGGAUUGACACUGAGGCGCGAAAGCCAGGGGAGCGAACGGG